rnacentral:rRNA from 1 species
ACCUGCGGAAGGAUCAUUACCGAUCAUUCGAAAGAAUAAACUCUUUCACACCGCGAACUGUACGAAGGAUUGGGGGUCGCCCCGAUGAGGGCGUGAAACGAUGGGAGCGCCCUUCUCUCUCCUAUGUCGGGGAGUGCAAGGGGUCGAUUCUCACGGCCCCCAACGUUUUUUGUUUUCAUUUUCAAAACACACCUCUACCUACCGAAGGAGCGUUCAGCCUCGCGGCGAACGAAAGAUCUAAGAGUUCAUAACUUUUAACGGUGGAUCUCUUGGCUCGUGCAUCGAUGAAGAACGCAGCCAGGUGCGAUAAGUAGUGUGAAUUGCAGAAUUCAGUGAAUCAUCGAAUCUUUGAACGCAAAUUGCGCUCUUGGGUUUUCCCAGGAGCACGUCUGUCUGAGUGUCGGUUUCAAAAAGCUAACGCAGUCAAAUGCGGCGUUGAGGCGUCGCGGCCCCAUAGGCGGCCGCGUCCCUUGAAGUGAAGCACGAACGAUCUGCGCGGCUCGCGUCGCCACUUCGGGGAGGCCAAAAGCAAACUUUGCCCUUCCUCGAGGCGUCGCGAGAUCGAGCGGAGCGGUCGCGGUCGGCGAGAGCCAACGAACUCCACUCUUGACCUCAGAUCAGGCGAGACUACCCGCUGAAUUUAAGCAUAUUAAUAAGCGGAGGAAAAGAAACUAACAAGGAUUCC